UACAGAGGUCUCAAGCGUUGUUCGGAUUCAUUGGGCGUAAAGGGUGCGUAGGCGGCGAGGCAAGUCUGGUGUGAAAUCCCGGGGCUCAACCCCGGAACUGCACUGGAUACUGCUUUGCUAGAGUACUGUAGAGGGAACUGGAAUUUACGGUGUAGCAGUGAAAUGCGUAGAUAUCGUAAGGAAGACCAGCGGCGAAGGCGAGUUCCUGGACAGUUACUGACGCUGAGGCACGAAGGCCAGGGUAGCAAACGGG
rnacentral:rRNA from 1 species